rnacentral:rRNA from 1 species
UACGUAGGCAGCAAGCGUUGUUCGGAAUCACUGGGCGUAAAGCGCACGUAGGCGGGUUCUUAAGUCAGGGGUGAAAUCCUGGAGCUCAACUCCAGAACUGCCUUUGAUACUGGGAAUCUCGAGUCCGGGAGAGGUGAGUGGAACUGCGAGUGUAGAGGUGAAAUUCGUAGAUAUUCGCAAGAACACCAGUGGCGAAGGCGGCUCACUGGCCCGGUACUGACGCUGAGGUGCGAAAGCGUGGGGAGCAAACAGG